rnacentral:lncRNA from 1 species
UGAGCAGAAGAGACUUCUUUCUAAAAAAUACUUACUGGUUGUGUGUACUGUAAUUCAUUUUUGGUAUUACUAACCAUAAAACGUCCAUAUUAUCUGACAGAUAUCACCAAAAUGCGCCUGAGAACCCAGUUGCAUUUGUUCAGAGCAUGCAUGUACGCAAACUGCAUUGCUGUUAUUGCUAUUCAUGGGAAAAUCUUUUAUAUACAGGGAUUUGUUCAGAAAAUGUACUGUGUGAGACAUUACCAUCAAAUUAAAAGUGAGUACAUUACCAAUUCAAUUAAAAAGUACAACAAUAGUAUUCUCUGCUACUAUUCUUUUUUGUCAUUUUGUAAGGUACAUUUUAAAAAUCAUCAGAGCAGCUGUGUGUGCAGGCAUAUGGAGGAUUGCUAUUCAAACAUUAGUCUGGAUGUCUUUGUCUUCAGCUGCGUAGUCUGACAUUUCUCUUCAUUACUCAUCCAAGUAGCGUGCUGUGCCAGGACAAGGUUUAAAAGUUGAAUGGAAUCAAAUCCCUCUGAAAUCCUGACCGUCUGAUGUGAAGUCUGAAACGGAGGAGCUGAGUUUAGAGUUCGGAGUUUGAGAGAAGACGGUGAAAGUCCUCAGUCAGCAUGUCUAAAUGGGGCGAGUCUCUCAGGGGACUAUAUCAGUGUUGGUAAGGAGGUCAGCCUCCUACCCGAAGCAUCUCGCUCUAAUGGACAGACAGGAAUGAUGGAGAGGAGAGAGAGAAACACACAGAUGGAGCACAGUAGAGAAAUGUUACAUGCUUCAUAAACAGGGCCAUUCUUAAAGGUUUAGGUCACCCAAAAAUGAAUUAAGGACCGUCAAGCUCAAUUAAAGUGUUUAAAUCUUUUUUUAAAUCUGUGAACUUGAAAUUGAUACUUCCAAUGGUGUUUGGGUUUAUUUGUGUCUUGAAUUCAUUUAGAUGUUUCUCACACAGAGCUACAAGUCACAUGGACAGCUUUUAUCCCAUCUAACAAAAUUAUGUUCUAAGUACAUUUUGGUAACAUUACUAUUUAGUUUCAUGAACGAUGUGUAAAUGUUUUGUGCUGACAUUUUGAGAAUGUUAUUAAAGACCAGACAACUUUGAAUGAACAUUAUGUAGCACUGGAAGAAUGUUAGAGAAAUGUUAACGUUACAUUUUAUAAUUGGGGAAAUGUUACUUUCGAAUAUUCUCUGAACGUUCCGAAACACGUAUAAGGUAGUAACAUUUAAUAAAAGACAAAUGUCCAACUAAAACUGUUUGUUCACAGAGUUAAGAGAACAUUACCACAAUGUUAGUCUUGAUAUUGUUGGCUUUGAUGGUGCAUUUUGUACCUUUCUGCAACUUUACAGGCCCUCCCUGCUGAACAGACAGCAUAUGCUGGUUAGGUAUGUUUUGAUGCUGGGAUGGUGGUCCAUUCUGGUCCUUUUGCUGGUUGAUGCUGGUCCUUUGCUGGUUUAUGAUGUUUUUUUCAGCAGGGCUGGUCACUGUAUGUUUCAAUUGUAUGAAAAUUGUGAGCCAUCUUUAAACUAUCUUCUUUAGCAGGGAGUGGGAAUAUGACAUGACGGUGAGUAAAGAUAACAUCUAAUUAAUUUAACGGAAUUAUUCACACACAAAAAUAAUAAUUUUGUUAUUUUCACAUUGUUUUUAAGAAACCACAUAAUUUCCUUUCUUCCAUGUUUUUUUUUUUUUUGUUGUUGUUGUUCAGAAUGUCUGAGCUCUUUGGCACACAAUUAAAAUUAAUAGCGACUGUCAAGUCCAAACAUGGGGGAAAAAAAAUAAAAUAAAUCAUGUAUGAUCUGUAUGAAAUAUGAGGUGUAUUUCAACUCCCUUAAAGUUAUACAAUAGCUUGGCGUGCUGUAUGAAAUAUGAGGUGUAUUUCAACUCCCUUAAAGUUAUACAAUAGCUUGGCGUGAGGAACAAAUUUAAGUCAUUAUUCACUUAUUUUUCAGAUGUCUUUCAACUAUUUAUUUUUGGGUAAACUCUUUCAGUCACAUUUACGAUCGACUGUGUGCAGAGCGUCUAAUUGACGUACGUAGCAUGUAUUGAGUAAAUUUCAGACAGACCUCAAUAUUAUUAUUAUAUCUGGAGGAGUUGUUACAUUAGAGGAAAGGAAAUUAGAAUUGCCUUAGAAACAAAUACCCAUUUAUUUUACAUGCUUCACUGGAGGUGUUGCUUAAUGGAGUUUGAUCGCUCCUAAUGGAGUUGGGGAAUUAAAUUUGUGAAAGGCCACCGUGAGCGUGAGCGAGCCGCUGCUGACAUCUGUUGGCCAACGCGAGCGUGUGUUGUUGUAGUUUACACAUCUGUCCACUAGGAGCCGCCAUUGACCGAAGCGCAAAUGAUAUUUAUUUGAGCUUAUUUAAAUUAGAUUAGAAGUUUUUCUAUUCUAAUAUUAAUAUUUUAUUUCGGAUUUAUUUCAAUUACCAGAAAAAAUCUUAAUAUUCUUGGUUAUUUUCACAUUGUUUUUUAAGAAACCACAUAAUUUCCUUUCUUCCAUGUUUUUUUUUUUUUUUGUUUGUUGUUGUUCAGAAUGUCUGAGCUCUUUGGCACACAAUUAAAAUUAAUAGCGACUGUCAAGUCCAAACAUGGGGGAAAAAAAAUAAAAUAAAUCAUGUAUGAUCUGUAUGAAAUAUGAGGUGUAUUUCAACUCCCUUAAAGUUAUACAAUAGCUUGGCGUGAGGAACAAAUUUAAGUCAUUAUUCACUUAUUUUUCAGAUGUCUUUCAACUAUUUUAUUUUUGGGUAAACUCUUUCAGUCACAUUUACGAUCGACUGUGUGCAGAGCGUCUAAUUGACGUACGUAGCAUGUAUUGAGUAAAUUUCAGACAGACCUCAAUAUUAUUAUUAUAUCUGGAGGAGUUGUUACAUUAGAGGAAAGGAAAUUAGAAUUGCCUUAGAAACAAAUACCCAUUUAUUUUACAUGCUUCACUGGAGGUGUUGCUUAAUGGAGUUUGAUCGCUCCUAAUGGAGUUGGGGAAUUAAAUUUGUGAAAGGCCACCGUGAGCGUGAGCGAGCCGCUGCUGACAUCUGUUGGCCACGCGAGCGUGUGUUGUUGUAGUUUACGACAUCUGUCCACUAGGAGCCGCCAUUCGACCGAAGCGCAAAUGAUAUUAUUUGAGCUUAUUUAAAUUAGAUUAGAAGUUUUUCUAUUCUAAUAUUAAUAUUUUAUUUCGGAUUUAUUUCAAUUACCAGAAAAAAUCUUAAUAUUCUUGAAACAUUCUUAUUAAUUAUU